rnacentral:rRNA from 1 species
UGGGGAAUUUUGGACAAUGGGGGAAACCCUGAUCCAGCCAUCCCGCGUGUGCGAUGAAGGCCUUCGGGUUGUAAAGCACUUUUGGCAGGAAAGAAACGUCGCGGGUUAAUACCCCGCGGAACUGACGGUACCUGCAGAAUAAGCACCGGCUAACUACGUGCCAGCAGCCGCGGUAAUACGUAGGGUGCAAGCGUUAAUCGGAAUUACUGGGCGUAAAGCGUGCGCAGGCGGUUCGGAAAGAAAGAUGUGAAAUCCCAGAGCUUAACUUUGGAACUGCAUUUUUAACUACCGGGCUAGAGUGUGUCAGAGGGAGGUGGAAUUCCGCGUGUAGCAGUGAAAUGCGUAGAUAUGCGGAGGAACACCGAUGGCGAAGGCAGCCUCCUGGGAUAACACUGACGCUCAUGCACGAAAGCGUGGGGAGCAAACAGGAUUAGAUACCCUGGUAGUCCACGCCCUAAAACGAUGUCAACUAGCUGUUGGGGUCUUCGGACCUUGGUAGCGCAGCUAACGCGUGAAGUUGACCGCCUGGGGAGUAC